CCAACAUUGACAGGCAAGCCGUAAAAUAAAAUAUGUAUUAAUUGUAAUAGAAUUACGUUUAUUAUCUACAGUUUACCUUCAUUUUAACGCCUAUAUAUGUUAAGAGGUUAUAAACGAAUGGUUUCCGUACAAGUGUUUUUCAUUUGUAUUAGCAUUUAUUUUAUGUUACCUUUUAGCGCAAAGUACGCCAACAGAAUACUUAAUUCAGUCGAAACAACUGGAAAAACUUUGUUUGUUGAUGAGAACGGGCUACCUAUACCAUAAGUAAACUUUCCCUAUUAUACCAGUUAUGCUG
rnacentral:lncRNA from 1 species